rnacentral:rRNA from 1 species
UUUCCGUAAGGUGACCUGCGGAAGGAUCAUU